GUCCUCUGUUUGGCAGCACAUAUACUGAAAUUGGAACAAUACAGAGAAGAUUAGCUUGGCCCCUUUGUAAGGAUGACACAAAUUCAUGAGGCAGUCACUCUCUUUUU
ensembl:snRNA Rnu6-909 RNA, U6 small nuclear 909